rnacentral:rRNA from 1 species
AGGAACGCGAAGAACCUUACCAGGUCUUGACAUCUUUUGAUCACCUGAGAGAUCAGGUUUCCCCUUCGGGGGCAAAAUGACAGGUGGUGCAUGGUUGUCGUCAGCUCGUGUCGUGAGAUGUUGGGUUAAGUCCCGCAACGAGCGCAACCCUUAUGACUAGUUGCCAGCAUUUAGUUGGGCACUCUAGUAAGACUGCCGGUGACAAACCGGAGGAAGGUGGGGAUGACGUCAAAUCAUCAUGCCCCUUAUGACCUGGGCUACACACGUGCUACAAUGGAUGGUACAACGAGUUGCGAGACCGCGAGGUCAAGCUAAUCUCUUAAAGCCAUUCUCAGUUCGGACUGUAGGCUGCAACUCGCCUACACGAAUUCGGAAUCGCUAGUAAUCGCGGAUCAGCACGCCGCGGUGAAUACGUUCCCCGGGGUCUUU